UACGUAGGGUGCAAGCGUUUAAUCGGAAUUACUGGGCGUAAAGCGUGCGCAGGCGGUUGUGCAAGACAGAUGUGAAAUCCCCGGGCUUAACCUGGGAAUGGCAUUUGGGACUGCAAGGCUGGAGUGCGGCAGAGGAGACUGGAAUUCCCUGGUGUAGCAGUGAAAUGCGUAGAUAUCAGGAGGAACACCGAUGGCGAAGGCAGGUCUCUGGGCUGACACUG
rnacentral:rRNA from 1 species